UACGUAGGGUGCGAGCGUUAAUCGGAAUUACUGGGCGUAAAGCGUGCGCAGGCGGUUUGCUAAGACAGGUGGGAAAUCCCCGGGCUUAACCUGGGAACUGCAUUCGAGACUGCAUUGCUAGAGUAUGGGAGAGGGAAGUGGAAUUUCCGGUGUAGCGGUGAAAUGCGUAGAUAUCGGAAGGAACAUCAGUGGCGAAAGCGACUUCCUGGACCAAUACUGACGCUCAUGUGCGAAAGCGUGGGGAGCAAACAGG
rnacentral:rRNA from 1 species